rnacentral:rRNA from 1 species
UACGUGAAACCCGUUCAGGGGUAAACCCUGCGAAACUCGAAUGAACGAACGGAGAGAUUCAUCGUCACUCCGCGGCGUACGGACGCGCGCCUCRAUGUCGAAGGACUUCGGUCCGGCGGCACGGGUCGCGUCCGUCGACGUCCGCGGACGGCGUGCACUUCUCUCUUAGUAAUGCAUCGCGACCCGUUCGAUGUCGGUCUGAGCGCCGUACGGGAGUCCAGGGGUCCGUUCGCGCGGACCGUUGGACCGUAUCGGUGGCCGACCGGCCCACGGACGGUACGACAAACGAACCGCGCACGCGUUUCACGCGCGUCCGGCCCGACGCAAGGCGAUGCGUCGUCAUCGAAGUCCUGCCCGAGCGCGGACGUCGGUGCGGCGCGCCUGUCGUCGCCGCCGUGCAGUCUCGGACUGUGCGCGUCUCCGUCUGCGAUGAUUCAGUUUCGGGCACUCGCAGGACCCGUCUUGAAACACGGACCAAGGAGUCUAGCAUGUGUGCGAGUCAUUGAGAUAUAGUAAAACUGAAAGGCGCAACGAAAGUGAAGGCGCGCGCUCGUCGCGCGCUCAGGGAGGAUGGAGCUACGAUCUAGGUCGUACUCUCGCACUCCCGAGGCGUCUCGUUUCCAAUCAGUGAAUGCAGGCGCGCUCUGAGCACAGAUGCUGGGACCCGAAAGAUGGUGAACUAUGCCUGGUCAGGUCGAAGUCAGGGGAAACCCUGAUGGAGGACCGUAGCGAUUCUGAACGUGCAAAUCGAUCGUCGGAACUGGGUAUAGGGGGCGAAAGACUAAUCGAACCAUC